CAGCCGCGGUAAUACAGAGGGUGCAAGCGUUAAUCGGAAUUACUGGGCGUAAAGGGCGCGUAGGCGGCUAUGUGAGUGUGAUGUGAAAGCCCUGGGCUUAACCUAGGAAGUGCAUCGCAAACGACAUGACUGGAGUAUAUGAGAGGGUGGUGGAAUUUCCGGUGUAGCGGUGAAAUGCGUAGAGAUCGGAAGGAACGUCAAUGGCGAAGGCAGCCACCUGGCAUAAUACUGACGCUGAGGCGCGAAAGCGUGGGUAGCGAACAGGAUUAGAUACCCUGGUAGUCCACGCUGUAAACGAUGAGGACUAAAUGUUGGUAGGGGAACCUAUCGGUAUUGAAGCAAACGCGAUAAGUCUUCCGCCUGGGAAGUACGGCCGCAAGGUUGAAACUCAAAGGAAUUGACGG
rnacentral:rRNA from 1 species